UACGUAGGGUGCAAGCGUUGUCCGGAAUUAUUGGGCGUAAAGAGCUCGUAGGCGGUUUGUUGCGUCUGCUGUGAAAACUGGAGGCUCAACCUCCAGCCUGCAGUGGGUACGGGCAGACUAGAGUGCGGUAGGGGAGAUUGGAAUUCCUGGUGUAGCGGUGGAAUGCGCAGAUAUCAGGAGGAACACCGAUGGCGAAGGCAGAUCUCUGGGCCGUAACUGACGCUGAGGAGCGAAAGCAUGGGGAGCGAACAGG
rnacentral:rRNA from 1 species